rnacentral:rRNA from 1 species
AGGGCACCACCAGGAGUGGAGCCUGCGGCUUAAUUUGACUCAACACGGGGAAACUUACCCGGCCUGGACACUGGAAGGAUUGACAGAUUGAGAGCUCUUUCUUGAUUCAGUGGGUGGUGGUGCAUGGCCGUUCUUAGUUGGUGGAGCGAUUUGUCUGGUUAAUUCCGAUAACGAACGAGACUCUAGCCUAUUAAAUAGGCUCCCGGCUUUUAAACGCCGGGAGGACUUCUUAGAGGGACAGGUGGCGGUUCAGCCGCACGAAAGAGAGCAAUAACAGGUCUGUGAUGCCCUUUGUUGUCCGGGGCCGCACGCGCGCUACACUGAAGAGAUCAGCGUGCUUUAUGUUCCUGCUCCGACCGGAGUGGGGAACCCAGUGAACCUUCUUCGUGAUUGGGAUAGAAGAUUGUAAUUAUUCUUCUUGAACGAGGAAUUCCCAGUAAAUGCGAGUCAUAAGCUCGCGUUGAUUACGUCCCUGCCCUUUGUGCACACCGCCCGUCGCUACUACCGAUUGAACGAUUU